rnacentral:rRNA from 1 species
UACGAAGGGGGCUAGCGUUGCUCGGAAUCACUGGGCGUAAAGGGUGCGUAGGCGGGUCUUUUAAGUCAGGGGUGAAAUCCUGGAGCUCAACUCCAGAACUGCCUUUGAUACUGAGGAUCUUGAGUUCGGGAGAGGUGAGUGGAACUGCGAGUGUAGAGGUGAAAUUCGUAGAUAUUCGCAAGAACACCAGUGGCGAAGGCGGUUCUCUGGGACGGUACUGACGCUGAGACGCGAAAGCGUCGGGGAGCGAACAGG